rnacentral:rRNA from 1 species
AGUGAACGCUGGCGGUAGGCCUAACACAUGCAAGUCGAACGGCAGCACAGUAAGAGCUUGCUCUUACGGGUGGCGAGUGGCGGACGGGUGAGGAAUACAUCGGAAUCUACUUUUUCGUGGGGGAUAACGUAGGGAAACUUACGCUAAUACCGCAUACGACCUACGGGUGAAAGCAGGGGAUCUUCGGACCUUGCGCGAUUGAAUGAGCCGAUGUCGGAUUAGCUAGUUGGCGGGGUAAAGGCCCACCAAGGCGACGAUCCGUAGCUGGUCUGAGAGGAUGAUCAGCCACGCUGGAACUGAGACACGGUCCAGACUCCUACGGGAGGCAGCAGUGGGGAAUAUUGGACAAUGGGCGCAAGCCUGAUCCAGCCAUACCGCGUGGGUGAAGAAGGCCUUCGGGUUGUAAAGCCCUUUUGUUAGGAAAGAAAAGCAGCAGGUUAAUACCCCGCUGUUCUGACGGUACCCAAAGAAUAAGCACCGGCUAACUUCGUG